CCUACGGGGGGCAGCAGUGGGGAAUAUUGGACAAUGGGGGGAACCCUGAUCCAGCGACGCCGCGUGAGUGAAGAAGUAUUUCGGUAUGUAAAGCUCUAUCAGCAGGGAAGAAAAUGACGGUACCUGACUAAGAAGCCCCGGCUAACUACGUGCCAGCAGCCGCGGUAAUACGUAGGGGGCAAGCGUUAUCCGGAUUUACUGGGUGUAAAGGGAGCGUAGACGGUGAAACAAGUCUGAUGUGAAAGGUCGGGGCCCAACCCCGGGACUGCAUUGGAAACUGUUGAACUGGAGUGCAGGAGAGGUAAGCGGAAUUCCUAGUGUAGCGGUGAAAUGCGGAGAUAUUAGGAGGAACACCAGUGGCGAAGGCGGCUUACUGGACUGUAACUGACGUUGAGGCUCGAAAGCGUGGGGAGCAAACAGGAUUAGAUACCCUUGUAGUC
rnacentral:rRNA from 1 species